CAGCCAUCUCAACUUUCAGCGCUCCUAUCCUAAAGGUCCUAACACACACGGAAACCUCCGAGUGUUUAAUCCUGAUUUUGAGCGGCAGCUUCUGACGGGAGGCUUCCUGAGCGGCACCUUCACUUCUCAUCUAGCACCAUCUACUGCCCACGGCGGGCAGGAGCCGCAGCCGCUGCCCAGCCCCGGCCCCGCUGGAGGAGCGCGGAGAGCCGCGGAACUGGCCACGGGCCCUUCCCGCACCGAGCUGGGCACGGGCCCGAAUCCUGACUGAGUUGGGCACGGGCCCUUCCCGCACCGAGCUGGGCACGGCCCUGAAACCUCACCGAGAGGGGCACGGGCCUGAACCUUCACCGAGCUGGGCACGGGCCCGAACCCGCACCAAGCUGGGCACGUCCCCGAACCCUGACUGAGCGGGGCACGGGCACUGCUCCGCACGGAGUCCGCCGGCGCUGCAACACCAGCUCGAACUUUGUGUGGUGAUCCAGAUGCAUACAGAUUCCAAAGACUCUGCUCCGGCAGAGUUAGAAGGACAAAGCACCUGUUCCCCUAGCAGAUUUCUCUGUUCGUACUUGAAGUUGCUGUCAGCUUUGGCCCUGCCUCCCUGGUGCCACAAAGGUGAUUACAACUAUUGAUAUGCAUCCUCCACUCUUUCAAAUGAAGACUAAUGGCUUGAAGCAAUGACUGAUGCCACUUCUUCCAGCAGAAUUAGAGCAGAACAUCACAGGCAGGUCAGUAUGUUUUCUAAAAGGAAGCUUUGAGAGUAUACAUCACAGAAGCUCAGGAUAUAUUGAUUCUGCCUGAAUCAUGUUAACACUCAGCUCUCCUCUAUCCAAAAUCUCUGUUCAAGCACAGUUAAACUCUAAAUUAGGCAACUAAUGACAAACAAAUGAUGAUGGACACUGUGGAAAAGGAAAUAAUAAGUGAAAAACUACACUUGUUCCAACACUGCCAUAUCAGAUGCUUCCUUUCGGUAACUUACAUGAAUAUUUGUUUUUUUCUCCCACAAUAUUGUCACCAUUGACAUAGGCAGUGGUUGCCAAAGGACAAAAAUAGCAACAUAAAGCAAUCUAGAAGAAGUGAUUUCUAGGAAAAGCUUCUAAGAAAGAUAAGCUACCUUAGCAAACUAAAGGAAGAGGAGAUUUCAAACCCAGCACAUUAGGAGAAAGCUGUAAGUUUACUAACUCCUUGUCAAGCAAAAGGGUUGUUUGAGCUGUUACAGAGACCUAACAUGAAAAGAAGAAAAAGGUGAAAACUGAAAUGAAAGCUGUAGCAUAACUCUUUAGAAACCUUUAGAUAGACUUAACUGAAAGGGGUAGAUCUAUAUGGCUGGAUACUCAAGUCUCCUAAGGAAGGAAAUGAAACUGAUGGAAUAGCAGUAGGUUGUAAUUCUUCUUUUCUGCUGGCUUGUAUCUAUUGACUAAAGUAGAUUUGUCCUUCCUAUGGGAAUCUAAAAAGCCUGAACAGCACAAGGAGAAAUUAAGAAGUAGUUGUACUUACAAGCAUUAUAUCUAAUUGCCUGCAAACCUGUCAUUUUUCAUCCACAGUACCUGUAUGGUUUAAGCACACUUAGA
rnacentral:lncRNA from 1 species